CUCAAAACGAUUUAUUACGAGAUCACUUUAAAAUGUAUCAGAUAUAACGAAAUCGUAUUGCGUCACAAUAAACAUUGUUCGCAAUCUCGCCAAAAACUGACUGCCAAAAACCACAUUGAUCGAUGGUUUCAUCAACACGAGCAUCGGGCAAAUUAUCAAAAAUCUCGUAAAUAGCCACGUGAUUCACGGGUGACGUGGGUGUGCAUGUCGUGAAAUUUGACGCGCGUACGAGUCAAAAGAAUCGUAAUUAUAAAGGUCCAAAUGAAAACCUGCACAAAAGAUAAAACUGUCGACUGUAUUCGCGAGCGUCAUCACGCCACUGAUAACCCUCUCGUUCGACCUCCCGACACGAUUAUCGUCGACACAAGAGAUCUUUGCCUCAGAUUCAUACGUAUACAAGCUGAUCGACACUCCGUAGGAAUUAAGGAAUAUCGAGUUGAUUUUCCUCCCUCCGGAUAAGGUCACCGAGGAUCGGUCCAAGGUCCGAUUAGUUUUUGAGAUUGGAGGAAACAUUUCGGGGAAACGCGGUUGAAGGAAAUUGAUAAGAAAUGAUAAUUGAGAAAGAUAGCCGAGACAAUGGAUGGAAUUAGAAUUAGUGCAUGAAAAGAGAUAUAUAUUGUGCAAGAAAAAUUUUUAAAAUAACAUUGGAACAUAUAUCUAGAAAAGAAUACAGA